GGUGGCUCACUGGUAGAGUGUUUGCCUUGCAUGCAUGAGGCCCUGGGUUCGAUUCCUCAGCACCA
rnacentral:tRNA from 1 species